CCUACGGGAGGCAGCAGUGAGGAAUCUUGGUCAAUGGGCGCGAGCCUGACCCAGCCAAGUAGCGUGAAGGAUGACUGCCCUACGGGUUGUAAACUUCUUUUAUAAAGGAAUAAGGUGAGGCACGUGUGCCUUUUUGUAUGUACUUUAUGAAUAAGGAUCGGCUAAGUCCGUGCCCGCAGCCGCGGUAAUACGGAGGAUCCGAGCGUUAUCCGGAUUUGUUUGGUUUAAAGGGAGCGGAGAUGGGUUGUUAAGUCAGUUGUGAAAGUUUGCGGCUUAAACGUAAAAUUGCAAUUGAUACUGGCAGCCUUGAGUACAGUUGAGGUAGGCGGAAUUCGAGGUGUAGCGGUGAAAUGCUUAGAUAUAACGAAGAACUCCGAUUGCGAAGGCAGCUUACUAAACUGCCACUGACAUUGAUGCUCGAAAGUGUGGGUAUCAAACAGGAUUAGAUACCCCAGUAGUC
rnacentral:rRNA from 1 species